rnacentral:rRNA from 1 species
AUGGCCGGCCCGGGCGCCGACGAGCACCAGAAGCGGCGCCGGGGGCGGCCCUCGCCCGCCGAUCUGCUCCUCAACUGCGACCUGCCCCCUCCGGCCAAACUCUUCGGCCCCCUCCCGACUCUUCUUCACAGAUUGGAGAGCGCGGCGGGGGCGGAUAAGAAGGGCGACGGCGGCAACGAGGAGCUGCGGCGGGCGCUGCGGCUGUCGCAGUCGCGGGCGCGGGAGGCGGAGCGGAAGCUUGCCGCGGCCAGCGGAGGCCUGGCAGCGCUGCUCGUGCGGGACUCGGUGCUGCUCUCGGCGCACCGCCGGUGGGUCAUGAUGCUCGAGGCCGAGAACUCCGCGCUCAGAGCCGCGGGCGCCGAGCCUGAAGAUGAUGAGGAAGAUGGUGAUGCCGCCCGGCGCGGUGUCGCCGCCGCGUGGUGGGUCGCGCUGGCGGUCUGCGUCGUCGGCCUCGCCCUCGGCAACCUCCUGCUCUGA